GGUGCGGAAACUGCAAGCUGCGGCUAAGAUGACCCAGGCGGAGAAGGGAGACGCGGAGAACGGGAAAGAGAAGGGCGGGGAGAGGGAGAAGGAGCAGCGCGGAGUGAAGCGGCCCAUCGUGCCUGCGCUGGUGCCAGAGUCGCUGCAGGAGCAAAUUCAGAGCAACUUCAUCGUUGUCAUACACCCAGGUUCAACAACCUUAAGGAUUGGUCGGGCCACUGACACACUUCCUGUCAGCGUUCCUCAUGUCAUUGCACGAAGGCACAAACAACAAGGGCAGCCUCUGUACAAGGACAAUUGGCUCCUAAGGGAGGGACUAAAUAAACCUGAAAGUAAUGAGCAAAGACAAAAUGGCCUUAAAAUGGUGGACCAAGCAAUAUGGUCUAAAAAGAUGUCAAAUGGUACAAGACGGAUUCCUGUGUCCCCUGAACAGACACGUUCCUACAAUAAACAGAUGCGACCUGCAAUUUUAGAUCACUGUUCUGGAAAUAAGUGGACGAACACAUCUCAUCACCCUGAGUAUUUGGUAGGAGAAGAGGCCUUGUAUGUUAAUCCAUUGGACUGCUACAAUAUUCACUGGCCUAUCAGGAGAGGUCAGUUAAACAUUCACCCAGGCCCUGGGGGCUCCCUUACAGCUGUUCUGGCAGAUAUUGAAGUAAUAUGGUCUCAUGCAAUACAAAAAUACCUAGAAAUCCCACUGAAAGAUUUGAAGUAUUACAGAUGUAUCUUGCUAAUUCCUGAUAUCUAUAAUAAACAGCAUGUGAAAGAACUAGUGAAUAUGAUACUAAUGAAGAUGGGUUUUUCAGGAAUUGUGGUCCAUCAGGAGUCUGUGUGUGCCACCUUUGGAAGUGGCUUAAGCAGCACUUGUAUUGUAGAUGUUGGGGACCAGAAGACAAGCGUCUGCUGUGUGGAGGAUGGAGUGUCUCAUCGGAACACUCGGCUCUGUCUGGCAUAUGGGGGAUCUGAUGUGUCAAGAUGUUUUUACUGGCUAAUGCAGCGAGCUGGGUUCCCUUACAGAGAAUGCCAGUUAACGAAUAAAAUGGAUUGCCUUCUUCUGCAGCACCUUAAAGAAACUUUUUGUCACUUAGAUCAGGACAUCUCUGGGCUUCAGGACCAUGAGUUUCAGAUUCGACAUCCAGAUUCUCCUGCCCUUCUUUACCAGUUUCGAUUAGGAGACGAAAAACUCCAGGCUCCAAUGGCUUUGUUUUACCCAGCGACUUUUGGAAUUGUUGGACAGAAGAUGACGAUUUUGCAGCACAGAUCCCAGGGUGACCCUGAGGACCCUCACGAUGAACAGUACCUUCUGGCCACUCAGAGCAAGCAGGAACAGUCUGCAAAAGCUACUGCUGACCGAAAGUCUGCAUCCAAACCUAUUGGAUUUGAAGGCGAUCUUCGUGGCCAGUCUUCUGAUCUUCCAGAAAGACUCCAUUCCCAGGAGGUGGAUUUGGGGUCUUCCCAGGGAGACUGCCUGAUGGCCGGCAAUGACUCUGAGGAAGCCCUCACUGCACUGAUGUCCAGGAAGACUGCCAUCUCACUGUUUGAAGGAAAAGCCCUGGGCCUGGAUAAAGCCAUCCUUCACAGCAUAGACUGCUGUUCAUCUGAUGAUACCAAAAAGAAGAUGUACAGCUCCAUCCUAGUGGUGGGCGGUGGUUUGAUGUUUCAUAAAGCUCAAGAAUUUCUGCAGCACAGAAUUCUCAAUAAAAUGCCACCUUCUUUCAGGCGUAUUAUUGAAAACGUGGAUGUGAUCACAAGGCCUAAGGACAUGGAUCCCAGGCUGAUUGCAUGGAAAGGAGGGGCAGUGUUGGCUUGUUUGGAUACAACACAGGAACUGUGGAUCUACCAGCGAGAGUGGCAGCGCUUUGGCGUCCGCAUGUUACGAGAGCGGGCUGCUUUUGUAUGGUGAGACGGGACCAAAGUCACCGGUGAAGACCAGAAACAAGCUUCUUGGUACCAUCACACACGUUGAUGUCAUUGGAGAGAAGGAAGAUGACUUUAUCUGCUGCUUGCUUCUGAGUGUUUUAGUUCCCAUAUCAUAGAAGGAUCAUACUGUAAAAGAAGUCAAAGCAGUCUUGGAUAACUGGAACCUUCUGCCAGACCGUCUAAUCUAAUGUUGGUUCUCUCACUGCUUCUAUGUCGUCUCGUCUGGCUGGUUCAGAAGUACUCAUCUCCAUCAAGUCAGCCUCUGGUAAUUCCUCUGGGGUGGUGUCCGUAAGCGGUUAAAUUUCUCCCAAGAUCCACAUCCUGAAAUCCUUUGCUCCUCUGCCCCCACGUCUUUUGCCACAUCCACAAGUCCUUUCACGAGUCCCUUGAUUGGCUCUGUCCUAAGUCCUAUAAAGUUGUGCACAGCAUCUGGGCUGUUUUCUUCAGCAGGGAUUUACUGUUUUUGGCCCGAUGGCUUUCAGAGCUUUUUCUAUGAUAUAGCAACAGCAGCAUCUUUAAUGGUGUGAUCCUUCCAGAUCUUCAUGCUAUUUCUUGGAGAUUCUUUUCCAUAAUAUUGACAGUCCUUUUCAGAGUACUAUGUGUAAGGAGCCUUAAAGGUCCUUUAUGACCUCCUGAUCUAGAGGCUGGAUUAGAAACACUGUGUUUGUAGGCAAGACGACAUUGAUGCUUUUGGUGUUGAACUUGUGGGAUUCUGGGUAGCCAGGGACAUUUUCCAAUAUCAAAAGAACUUUAAAAGGCAGUCCCCUUUACUGGCAAGGUACUCUCUGGGACAUCAGGGACAAAGCAUCAAUGGAACCGAUCCAGAAAAGGGGUUUUUGUGAUCCAGGCUUGAGAUUGACAGCUUUAUAGAUAGGGGCAGUCCUGAUCAUAAACCUGACUGCCUUUGUGCAAAACAGCAGAGUUUAAUCUAUUCCUUCCGCCUUAAAUCCUGUGCUCGCUUGUCUUCUGUGCUAGUAAAUGUUCUUUGUAGCCCCCCUUGCGCCCCCCCCCCAGAAUAGGUUACUUUCAUCUGCCUGUCAAGCCUGUUGAGGCAGCUAGCCUUUCUCCUCAGUGAUUCUUCCUAGUGGAGUCUAGGAACUUGGCUGUUGCCUCUUGGUUGGCACAGACUGCUUCUCCUGCUACCUAGAGUUAUUUUCUAAGCCCGACUUCUUUCUAAAAUUAUCAAAUAGCCUUUGCUGGCAUUAAAUUCUUCAAUUUUAGAACCUUUACCUUCCUUCUGCCUUAAGUUGUCUUAUAAUGAAUGACUUUGCUUCUUCUCAAAUCAUAACAGAAUCUAUAGGUAUGUUUUUCUUACAGUAAUCCUGCACCCACAUAAAAGCUGCAUUUUCAAUACCAGAUACAAAGGUGUUUCACAGAAAGUGCCAGAUGUUCAUACCUGCUGGUACCAUAGCUUCACUAAUUUCUUUUUUAUUUCCCCUUUUAUUCUUAACAGUGGUUGUUAUUUACUCUGUAUUAUCUUGACGUGGCAGGCAACUGCAGCUACUGACCUUACUUAAUCCGCAGUUACGUAUGAAGCAAUUCACCUUUUUCUUGUAAUGUCAUGACUUUUCUCUGCUUCUUGGGAGCACUUCCAGAGUCAUUAGUGGCCCUUGGCACAGGUCCUAUGGUGUUACUCAACAUUUACAGUAUUGCACUGAACAGGAAAAACACGUGUGACUCUUACUGUGCAUAUGUACUUUGCUGGAGAGACAAAUUGUUCAUUUGGAGAUGAUUAGCCUCCCACGGGGUUUAAAGCUGACACGCGCAACACUUGAGACUCACUGCAAUAGCAACAGGAGACGGCUAUGAAAUUAUUACAGUUGUACAGUAGAUAGAAUAGUAAAUUUUAUGCAGUUAUGAUUUAAUUCUGCACCUUUAUUUUUCUCUGAUUGUGAAUGGCCCCAUGUAAAGUCUGUGUGUACAUAAGUUUUGAUAAACUUUGGCUUUUUAUAAUAGACUUGUGUGUAUUUUAUGGUAGUAAAUGAUAAAAUAGAUAAAUAUCUAUAAUACGUGUAUUUUAUGCAUUCUUGACACACCUACCCCUUUGCAACUCUCUAAAAACUUUGAUUUACUAAAAAAAAGGUUCACAUGUACAUGUUCCUACAUGGUUCAGCUUGGGCUAUUCAGGGUUCAACUCUUAUUUGAAUCCAAGUGAAUGAGAUUCCUUAGGCCUCAGAAAAACUAUUUAUACAAAUUAAGAACUAACCUGGAGUGCCCGUCUCAGGUAAAAUGCAGUUUGUCAUCUUUCAUCUUUUGCUUUCAGACUUACAGCUUCAUCCUUUCAGACUUAGAGCUGCCUCCAUGGUAAAAAUAAAACAGGUGCUAGUCACCAGACCUGGAAGUCCUCACUGCACUUUAACGUGGCAGAUGGAGUCUAGCCGUGACCUCUGAGUCUCUGUGGGAACACUGUAAAGCAUUAAAUGCAGGCUUCCAGCUCUGGGAAAUGCCAGCAUAUGAUUGCCUCUAGAGGAACUUGCUUUAAAAAAAGUGAAAAUGUUAUUUCCUCGUUAGGUU